UACGAGGGGGGGCGAGCGUUGUUCGGAAUUAUUGGGCGUAAAGGGUGCGUAGGCGGUUCCGCAAGUCCUGUGUGAAAUCUUCGGGCUCAACUCGAAGUCUGCACGGGAAACUGCGGGGCUUUGAGUGUGGGAGAGGUGAGUGGAAUUCCCGGUGUAGCGGUGAAAUGCGUAGAUAGUCGGGAGGAACACCUGUGGCGAAAGCGGCUCACUGGACCAUAACUGACGCUGAUGCACGAAAGCUGGGGGAGCAAACAGG
rnacentral:rRNA from 1 species